rnacentral:rRNA from 1 species
ACCAUGCAAGUCGAGGGGUAACGGAAGUAGCUUGCUACUAGACGACGACCGGCGCACGGGUGAGUAACGCGUAUGUAAUCUGCCCUGUACAGAGGGAUAGCCCAGAGAAAUUUGGAUUAAUACCUCAUAGUAUUACCGAAUCGCAUGAUUUGGUAAUUAAAGCUCCGGCGGUACAAGAUGAACAUGCGUGACAUUAGCUAGUUGGUAAGGUAACGGCUUACCAAGGCAACGAUGUCUAGGGGUUCUGAGAGGAUGAUCCCCCACACUGGUACUGAGACACGGACCAGACUCCUACGGGAGGCAGCAGUGAGGAAUAUUGGUCAAUGGACGCAAGUCUGAACCAGCCAUCCCGCGCGAAGGAAUGACUGCCCUAUGGGUUGUAACUUCUUUUAUAUGCAAUAAACCUACUUUCGUGAAAGUAGCUGAAGGUAGCAUAUGAAUAAACACCGGCUAACUCCGUGCCAGCAGCCGCGGUAAUACCGAGGGUGUAAGCGUUAUCCGGAUUUAUUGGGUUUAAAGGGUACGUAGGCGGUAAUAAAAGUCAGUGGUGAAUCCUGGGCUCA